UACAGAGGGGGCAAGCGUUAUUCGGAAUUAUUGGGCGUAAAGGGCGCGUAGGCGGCCUGGCAAGUGGAAGGUGAAAUCCCUCGGCUUAACCGAGGAACUGCCCUCCAAACUGCUUGGCUUGAGUCCGGGAGAGGUGAGUGGAAUUCCCAGUGUAGCGGUGAAAUGCGUAGAUAUUGGAAGGAACGCCGGUGGCGAAAGCGACGUGCUGGACCUCUUCUGACGCUGAGGCGCGAAAGCCAGGGGAGCAAACGGG
rnacentral:rRNA from 1 species